UUUGCAAAUAAAAUUUCUUUAUGUUUUGUAUGUCCCGUUGUUUGCACGCGUCUUUCCAGGAACUUAAAUCAGAUAGUUUGUGGUUUUUAGAUACCGCAAUUAACGAUCUAAAAUGUUUGAUUUCACUAAGCCCCAAUUACAAGAUGAGAAAAAUGCAAACAGAAAGGAAAUGAUUUUAUAUAAAACGAUGAAACGGAAAUAGUUCAGGCAAUCAAUCAUAAAGAAUCCU
rnacentral:lncRNA from 1 species